rnacentral:rRNA from 1 species
GUGGGGAAUAUUGCGCAAUGGGCGAAAGCCUGACGCAGCGACGCCGCGUGGGGGAUGACGGCCUUCGGGUUGUAAACCUCUUUCAGCAGGGACGAAGUUGACGUGUACCUGCAGAAGAAGCGCCGGCUAACUACGUGCCAGCAGCCGCGGUAAUACGUAGGGCGCAAGCGUUGUCCGGAAUUAUUGGGCGUAAAGAGCUCGUAGGUGGCUGGUCGCGUCUGCCGUGAAAGCCCGCAGCUUAACUGCGGGUCUGCGGUGGAUACGGGCCGGCUAGAGGUAGGUAGGGGCAAGUGGAAUUCCUGGUGUAGCGGUGAAAUGCGCAGAUAUCAGGAGGAACACCGGUGGCGAAGGCGGCUUGCUGGGCCUUACCUGACGCUGAGGAGCGAAAGCGUGGGGAGCGAACAGG